AUAUGUAUGUGAAUUGCAGAAUUCAGUGAAUCAUCGAAUCUUUGAACGCACCUUGCGCUCCUUGGUAUUCCGAGGAGCAUGCCUGUUUGAGUGUCAUUAAAUUCUCAACCUUACUAGCUUUAUUGCCAGUCUGGCUUGGACUUGGGGGUUUUUUGCCGNNUUCUAACAUAACUGAGGUCAGCUCCCCUUAAAUGCAUUAGCUGGUGCCCCGUCGUGGACAUUCGUCUAUUGGUGUGAUAAUUAUCUACGCCGUGGAUGGUCUGCGUUUACUACRCUGCUUACAAUCGUCCCUUUGGACAAAUCUAAUGACUAAUUUGACCUCAAAUCAGGUAGGACUACCCGCUGAACUUAAGCAUAUCAAUAAGCGGAGGAAAAGAAACUAACAAGGAUUCCCCUAGUAACUGCGAGUGAAGCGGGAAAAGCUCAAAUUUAAAAUCUGGCAGUCUUUGGCUGUCCGAGUUGUAAUCUAGAGAAGUGUUAUCCGCGCUGGACCGUGUACAAGUCUCCUGGAAUGGAGCGUCAUAGAGGGUGAGAAUCCCGUCUUUGACACGGACUGCCAGGGCUUUGUGAUACGCUCUCAAAGAGUCGAGUUGUUUGGGAAUGCAGCUCAAAAUGGGUGGUAAAUUCCAUCUAAAGCUAAAUAUUGGCGAGAGACCGAUAGCGAACAAGUACCGUGAGGGAAAGAUGAAAAGAACUUUGGAAAGAGAGUUAAACAGUACGUGAAAUUGCUGAAAGGGAAACGCUUGAAGUCAGUCGCGUUGGCUGGGAAUCAACCUUGCUUUUGCUUGGUGUAUUUUCUGGUCGACGGGUCAGCAUCAAUUUUGACCAUUGGAAAAAGGCUUUGGGAAUGUGGCAUCUUCGGAUGUGUUAUAGCCCUUGGUUGUAUACAAUGGUUGGGAUUGAGGAACUCAGCACGCCGCAAGGCCGGGUUUUCGAACCACGUUCGUGCUUAGGAUGCUGGCAUAAUGGCUUUAAUCGACCCGUCUUGAAACACGGACCAAGGAGUCUAACAUGCCUGCGAGUGUUUGGGUGGAAAACCCGAGCGCGUAAUGAAAGUGAAAGUUGAGAUCCCUGUCGUGGGGAGCAUCGACGCCCGGACCAGACCUUUUGUGACGGAUCCGCGGUAGAGCAUGUAUGUUGGGACCCGAAAGAUGGUGAACUAUGCCUGAAUAGGGUGAAGCCAGAGGAAACUCUGGUGGAGGCUCGUAGCGAUUCUGACGUGCAAAUCGAUCGUCAAAUUUGGGUAUAGGGGCGAAAGACUAAUCGAACCAUCUAGUAGCU
rnacentral:rRNA from 1 species